CAGUAGCCGCGGUAAUACGAAGGGGGCUAGCGUUGCUCGGAAUGACUGGGCGCAAAGGGCGCGUAGGCGGAUGGCACAGUCAGAUGUGAAAUUCCCGGGCUUAACCUGGGGGCUGCAUUUGAUACGUGUUGUCUAGAGUGAGGAAGAGGGUCGUGGAAUUCCCAGUGUAGAGGUGAAAUUCGUAGAUAUUGGGAAGAACACCGGUGGCGAAGGCGGCGACCUGGUCCUUUACUGACGCUGAGGCGCGAAAGCGUGGGGAGCAAACAGGAUUAGAUACCCCUGUAGUCCCUGUCUCUUAUAC
rnacentral:rRNA from 1 species